GUGAGAAGAGGCGAGGAGGGUUCACGCACGCUCUCUUUCUCUCUCUCUCUUUCUCUCUUUCUCUCUCUCUCUCCCUAGGCAUCCUUUCCUCUUCCCUAAACUCGAUCUCUAACUCUCUCUCUUCAUUAGCUUCGAGAUUUCAGCCAUGGAUGUAAGCAUGCGUGCGAUGCUCCCGCUGUUAAGCGUUGCCAUGGUGGCAGCGACCACCUGGCAUGAGGUAUGAAUUGUGGUUUUGGUGGAAAUCUGGCAGAGAAGAGUAAGAGAUUGGAGUUUUUUCAGAUCGCAAUUCCGCUUGAAACAGUUGAAAUCGGAGCCCUAAUUUUUUGAUUGCAAUUUUAAGUUUCAAAGCUGUAAAACUGAAGCCCUACUGAAGUCUGGUUAUUGAGGGCUAACAAUGUAAGGCUUUGUUUGCAUUCGUGAACAGGCCAAGUUUUAUAAGGAUUAUGAUGUUUACGGCGGGGGCUGACACUGUCAAACAUAAUAGAAUCAGGGGGAGAUCCACUCCCAAGAAUUUUCUGACUUCCUAUUAAACUUUUCACGGUCGUUAUGUGCGGCCUCUCAUCCUGUUGGAGCCACACUGUCGGAAUGUCAAUCGUCCGUCGCUUUAUGACUAACAGCCUUCGUUGGACGAUGACUGUGUGCUUCCCUAUAAACCUCCCUCAUUCAUUUGAUAUUCUUCACACGUUUUGAAGCAAAUUUCUGCACCGAGCAAUCACUAUCACGAAGAAGUGAGUCGAACCCUACUCUGCAGAAGAAUCUCGAUCAUCAGGUUGGACAAGAUGUUUCAGGAUGCGUACAAGAGCCAACGAACAGGAGAGGCUUAGGGAUGCGAGUGAUAGUUCUUGUAAGUUACAAUGUCACCUUCAUUUUUUAAGUUGGUUCUUUAUUUGGGUUUCAAGAUAUCCUACAGAACCACCUGAGGAAACCAUAAUAUUUUAUGAUUUAAAAAAAUAUUUCAAGGCAUUGGCUUAAUGCCAAUCCAGGUGGACGUAGCCUAUUGGCAAGACUAUUAAGGACCUAUUAUGUGAAGGGCUCUCUAGUUUGGAAUUUUGCUAAAGGUUAUUGCCAUGGUUGAUCUACAAUUUCAUGUAAAUAGUGUGGGCUUCAGUUGAUUCCUUCCUUACAAAAUGGUGCUUUUGUAUAUGGGUUAGUUGUUUCGAGUGUCUUUCUUUGCAUGGUGUGGUCUUCUCCUAUGGAUGUGACUUAAAUCUAAUUGGUUGGAUUGGACUUUAUUGAAGCACCCUUUUCUUUUAAUUAUCUAAGUAUAUAUCAAUAUUUUUUUUUUCUAUUUGGCAAUAUAGACUCACCUAUGUGAGAACUGUGUAGUUUGAUUAAUGUUUAUGAUGUUAUAUUAAUAACUUGAAGAUCAUCAAAACAUAAGCUUAUUUUAGCCAUGAUAUCUUCCAUCUAACUAGUUAAAUUUCACGUUAUCUCCUUGAAAGCCUCAAGGUUGUGGUUAACGUCUCUAUGUAAACUUAAUGAAACAAACAUCGAUUCCAGUCCUAUUUGCAAUAACGAAGCUGAAGUUCCAUUCAUUGUAUGUGCUUGUUCAUCAUGAUUCUAUCACCCACCCCGUUGAUCUCUCUAUUUAUUGUUGUCAUUAAGUAAUUUUAUUCAUCCUUGUAGCCCUUGCACUGAAUCCCUACAUACAUGAGUGUAGCCUUUUAUAAUCUGCAAGAAGGCUCUCUCAUUUUGGUUUUGUAACGUGCCUUCUUCUAUUAUCAAGUCAAAGGAAAUAUCUUUUACCCGGACAGUUUUGAUGCAA